rnacentral:rRNA from 1 species
GAUGAACGCUGGCGGCGUGCCUAAUACAUGCAAGUCGAACGAAACUUCUUUAUCACCGAGUGCUUGCACUCACCGAUAAAGAGUUGAGUGGCGAACGGGUGAGUAACACGUGGGCAACCUGCCCAAAAGAGGGGGCUAACACUUGGAAACAGGUGCUAAUACCGCAUAACCAUAGUUACCGCAUGGUAACUAUGUAAAAGGUGGCUAUACUACCGCUUUUGGAUGGGCCCGCGGCGCAUUAGCUAGUUGGUAGGGUAAAGGCUUACCAAGGCAAUGAUGCGUAGCCGAAUUGAGAGGUUGAUCGGCCACAUUGGGACUGAGACACGGCCCAAACUCCUACGGGAGGCAGCAGUAGGGAAUCUUCCACAAUGGGCGAAAGCCUGAUGGAGCAACGCCGCGUGGGUGAAGAAGGUCUUCGGAUCGUAAAACCCUGUUGUUAGAGAAGAAAGUGAGUGAGAGUAACUGUUCACGUUUCGACGGUAUCUAACCAGAAAGCCACGGCUAACUACGUG